GACGAACGCUGGCGGCGUGCUUAACACAUGCAAGUCGAACGGAAAGGCCCUGCUUUUGUGGGGUGCUCGAUUGGCGAACGGGUGAGUAACACGUGAGUAACCUGCCCUUGACUUUGGGAUAACUUCAGGAAACUGGGGCUAAUACCGGAUAGGAGCUCCUGCUGCAUGGUGUGGGUUGGAAAGUUUCGGCGGUGGGGGAUGGACUCGCGGCUUAUCAGCUUGUUGGUGGGGUAGUGGCUUACCAAGGCUUUGACGGGUAGCCGGCCUGAGAGGGUGACCGGCCACAUUGGGACUGAGAUACGGCCCAGACUCCUACGGGAGGCAGCAGUGGGGAAUAUUGCACAAUGGGCGGAAGCCUGAUGCAGCAACGCCGCGUGCGGGAUGACGGCCUUCGGGUUGUAAACCGCUUUCGCCUGUGACGAAGCGUGAGUGACGGUAAUGGGUAAAGAAGCACCGGCUAACUACGUG
rnacentral:rRNA from 1 species